rnacentral:rRNA from 1 species
GAUACCCCUGUAGUCCUGGCCGUAAACGAUGAACACUAGGUGUCGGGGGAAUCGACCCCCUCGGUGUCGUAGCCAACGCGUUAAGUGUUCCGCCUGGGGAGUACGCACGCAAGUGUGAAACUCAAAGGAAUUGACGGGGGCCCGCACAAGCGGUGGAGUAUGUGGUUUAAUUCGAUGCAACGCGAAGAACCUUACCAGGGUUUGACAUCCUGCGAAUCCCUUGGAAACUUGGGAGUGCCUUCGGGAGCGCAGUGACAGGUGGUGCAUGGCUGUCGUCAGCUCGUGUCGUGAGAUGUUGGGUUAAGUCCCGCAACGAGCGCAACCCACGUCUUUAGUUGCCAGCAUUGAGUUGGGCACUCUAGAGAGACUGCCGGUGAUAAGCCGGAGGAAGGUGUGGAUGACGUCAAGUCAUCAUGCCCCUUACAUCCUGGGCUACACACGUACUACAAUGCUACGGACAAAGGGCAGCAAACUCGCGAGAGCUAGCAAAUCCCAUAAACCGUGGCUCAGUUCAGAUCGUAGGCUGCAACUCGCCUACGUGAAGGAGGAAUCGCUAGUAAUCGCAGGUCAGCAUACUGCGGUGAAUACGUUCCCGGGCCUUGUACACACCGCCCGUCACACCAUGGAAGUUGGCCAUGCCCGAAGUCGUUACUCCAACCCUUGUGGAGGAGGAUGCCGAAGGUGGGGCUGAUGACUGGGGCGAAGUCGUAACAAGGUAGCCGUACCGGAAGGUGC